rnacentral:rRNA from 1 species
CGCGGCCUAUCAGCUUGUUGGUGAGGUAAUGGCUCACCAAGGCUUCGACGGGUAGCCGGCCUGAGAGGGCGACCGGCCACACUGGGACUGAGAUACGGCCCAGACUCCUACGGGAGGCAGCAGUGGGGAAUAUUGCACAAUGGGCGCAAGCCUGAUGCAGCAACGCCGCGUGCGGGAUGACGGCCUUCGGGUUGUAAACCGCUUUCAGUAGGGACGAAGCUAACGUGACGGUACCUACAGAAGAAGGACCGGCUAACUACGUGCCAGCAGCCGCGGUGAUACGUAGGGUCCGAGCGUUGUCCGGAAUUAUUGGGCGUAAAGGGCUUGUAGGCGGUCCGUCGCGUCAGGAGUGAAAACUCGGGGCUUAACCCCGAGCCUGCUUUUGAUACGGGCGGACUAGAGGGAUGCAGGGGAGAACGGAAUUCCUGGUGGAGCGGUGGAAUGCGCAGAUAUCAGGAGGAACACCGGUGGCGAAGGCGGUUCUCUGGGCAUCACCUGACGCUGAGAAGCGAAAGCGUGAGGAGCAAACAGGCUUAGAUACCCUGGUAGUCCACGCCGUAAACGGUGGGCACUAGGUGUGGGGGACAUUCCACGUUCUCCGUGCCGAAGCUAACGCAUUAAGUGCCCCGCCUGGGGAGUACGG